AUUGAACGCUGGCGGCAUGCCUUACACAUGCAAGUCGAACGGCAGCACGGGGGGUAACCCCUGGUGGCGAGUGGCGAACGGGUGAGUAAUAUAUCGGAACGUGUCCUGUAGCGGGGGAUAACCUAUCGAAAGAUGGACUAAUACCGCAUACGACCUACGGGUGAAAGCGGAGGACCGCAAGGCUUCGCACUAUAGGAGCGGCCGAUAUCGGAUUAGCUAGUUGGCGGGGUAACGGCCCACCAAGGCGACGAUCCGUAGCUGGUCUGAGAGGACGAUCAGCCACACUGGAACUGAGACACGGUCCAGACUCCUACGGGAGGCAGCAGUGGGGAAUUUUGGACAAUGGGCGCAAGCCUGAUCCAGCCCUGCCGCGUGAGUGAAGAAGGCCUUCGGGUUGUAAAGCUCUUUCGGCGGGGACGAAACGGUUCGUGCUAAUACCACGGACUACUGACGGUACCCGCAGAAGAAGCACCGGCUAACUACGUG
rnacentral:rRNA from 1 species